rnacentral:rRNA from 1 species
UACGCAGGGGGCUAGCGUUGCUCGGAAUCACUGGGCGUAAAGGGUGCGUAGGCGGGUCUUUAAGUCAGGGGUGAAAUCCUGGAGCUCAACUCCAGAACUGCCUUUGAUACUGGAGAGCUUGAGUCCGGGAGAGGUGAGUGGAACUGCGAGUGUAGAGGUGAAAUUCGUAGAUAUUCGCAAGAACACCAGUGGCGAAGGCGGCUCACUGGCCCGGUACUGACGCUGAGGUGCGAAAGCGUGGGGAGCAAACAGG